CAGAGUACUUUUGGGGUCAUUGGGCACAUUGGCUCCAUUCACAAGCAGAACUAGAAAGUGCAAAGUUAACUUCACAAAGAUGGGUGAUGUUGGACUAUGCCACUUGACUACAAGGUCUAAAAUUAGCAAUACCCUUGCUUUUCAUGAGAGGGGCACUACUUUGAUUAUCUAAUUUAGCACGUUUAGGCAGUUCUUUUUAUUUAAAAGUGAACGCGAACACUUUCGAAGAUGCUCUGUAGCGCGCACCAACACCCCUAAAGAUGAUAGAUUAUUUGCACUUUAUCGAGUCAUGACGCAUGAAGUGAAUGGCAUCUCACUCUGCACUACAAAGUUAGACAUGGCCAAGAUUCCGGAGCCUAAAGUCCAAAAUGUAAUGAAUAACAACAGAAAUUAAGGAAGAAGAUCGCUUACUUC